rnacentral:rRNA from 1 species
UACGGAGGGAGCUAGCGUUGUUCGGAAUUACUGGGCGUAAAGGGCGCGUAGGCGGUGGUGUAAGUCAGAUGUGAAAACCAUCGGCUUAACCGAUUGGAUUGCAUUUGAUACUGCAUCACUUGAGUUCAGUAGAGGAGAGUGGAAUUCCCAGUGUAGCGGUGGAAUGCGUAGAUAUUGGGAAGAACACCAGUGGCGAAGGCGGCUCUCUGGACUGACACUGACGAUGAGGCGCGAAAGCUAGGGGAGCGAACAGG